UACGGAAGGCAGCAGUGGGGAAUAUUGCACAAUGGGCGCAAGCCUGAUGCAGCCAUGCCGCGUGUAUGAAGAAGGCCUUCGGGUUGUAAAGUACUUUCAGUCGUGAGGAAGGUGUUAAGGUUAAUAACCUUAGCAAUUGACGUUAGCGACAGAAGAAGCACCGGCUAACUCCGUGCCAGCAGCCGCGGUAAUACGGAGGGUGCGAGCGUUAAUCGGAAUUACUGGGCGUAAAGGGCACGCAGGCGGUUAAUUAAGUUGGAUGUGAAAUCCCCGGGCUUAACCUGGGAAUGGCAUUCAAGACUGGUUAGCUAGAGUCUUGUAGAGGGGGUAGAAUUCCAUGUGUAGCGGUGAAAUGCGUAGAGAUGUGGAGGAAUACCGGUGGCGAAGGCGGCCCCUGGGACAAAGGCUGACGCUCAUGUGCGAAAGCGUGGGGAGCAAACGAGGGAUUAGAUACC
rnacentral:rRNA from 1 species